UACGUAGGGUGCGAGCGUUGUCCGGAAUUAUUGGGCGUAAAGAGCUCGUAGGCGGUUUGUCACGUCGGAUGUGAAACCCCGGGGCUUAACUCCGGGCCUGCAUUCGAUACGGGCUGACUAGAGUUCGGCAGGGGAGACUGGAAUUCCUGGUGUAGCGGUGAAAUGCGCAGAUAUCAGGAGGAACACCGGUGGCGAAAGCGGCUCACUGGAUCGAAACUGACACUGAGGUGCGAAAGCUAGGGUAGCAAACGGG
rnacentral:rRNA from 1 species